GUCUACAGCCAUGCCACCCUGAACAAGCCCAAUGUCUGAUCUCGGAAGCUAAGCAGGGUCGGGCCUGGUUAGUAUUUGGAUGGGAGACCACCUAGGAAGACCAGGUGCUGUAGAAA
rnacentral:rRNA from 1 species